GAUGAACGCUAGCGAUAGGCCUAACACAUGCAAGUCGAGGGGCAUCACAUGAAGUAGCAAUACGGAUGGUGGCGACCGGCGCACGGGUGAGUAACACGUAUGCAACCUGCCUUCAACAAGGGGAUAACCCAUUGAAAGACGGACUAAUACCCUAUAACACAGGGGUCCCGCAUGGGAAUAUUUGUUAAAGGACAACCGGUUGAAGAUGGGCAUGCGUUCCAUUAGCUAGUUGGCGGGGUAACGGCCCACCAAGGCAACGAUGGAUAGGGGAACUGAGAGGUUUAUCCCCCACACUGGUACUGAGACACGGACCAGACUCCUACGGGAGGCAGCAGUGAGGAAUAUUGGUCAAUGGACGCAAGUCUGAACCAGCCACGUCGCGUGAAGGAAGACGGCCCUACGGGUUGUAAACUUCUUUUAUACGGGAAUAAAGUGCCCCACGCGUGGGGUUUUGCAUGUACCGUAUGAAUAAGGAUCGGCUAACUCCGUG
rnacentral:rRNA from 1 species